rnacentral:rRNA from 1 species
GUUUGUGAUGCCCUUAGAUGUUCUGGGCCGCACACGCGCUACACUGAUGUAUUCAACGAGUAUAUAGCCUUGGCCGACAGGCCCGGGUAAUCUUGGGAAAUUUCAUCGUGAUGGGGAUAGAUCAUUGCAAUUGUUGGUCUUCAACGAGGAAUGCCUAGUAAGCGCGAGUCAUCAGCUCGCGUUGACUACGUCCCUGCCCUUUGUACACACCACCUGUCGCUCCUACCGAUUGAAUGGUCCGGUGAAGUGUUCGGAUCGCGGCGACGGGGGCGGUUCGCCGCCCCCGACGUCGCGAGCAGUCCAUUGAAC